AUCAAUGAGUCACUCUGGGAGGCUGCCCUGGUCCUGGUGUACUGUUGGCUUUUUCACUCUUUUUUCUAACAUUAUACUCCAGUGGUUUUAUUACAACUCCUGUCAUUGUAUGACGUAAUGAGGUGGGAGAUAUUUUCAAAAGGUCACCACCAGAGAUGAUUGCAGUGCAUCCCUGAAAGUAUAUUCUCCUCUAACAAAAGGCUAAUCCACUGAGAUACAUUAGUUCAACAUAGACAAACAUGGAUUGAGAAACUGGGCAAUGUGUCUUUUGUCCAACUUGUCCUGAAUCAUACACCGUCUGUGGGACCAGAAUGUAAAACAGUCAAAAAUUGAUCAUACAUGAUAUCAGUUAUUACUUGUGUAAUAAAUGGGAAAUCAGUAUUCCAUUGGCCAAAUUCAUGCAUUGCUAGAAAUCCUUGUAAUUCAGUAGAAGAUAACGCAUCUACUAAGCAGCAUGUUAGAAGGAGUUUAUCAUGUGUGUUCAGGCACCAUACAUGCCUUGAUGCUUCAUAACUGAGAAUCGCCAAACAGUAAUAAAUGGAAACAAAAGAAUAACAUAAAGACCCGGCAAACAAUGAUGGAGCUCUGAAAGAGUAACAAACUAAAAACGUCAUAUUGCAAUUUAAAAUAAAAUAAAUAAAUAAAACACUUUUAAAAUGAAA